rnacentral:lncRNA from 1 species
AAUUGCAUGCCUCUAUAUGUAUAGUUAUAUAAGAAAUGUUUAAAAGACUUAGGAAGGCUAUCCACCCUAUUUCCUUUUCGCGCCUUGAGAUGUGGUCUGGUGGGAUAUUGGGUAUUCGUCCGAAAGUCGUUUAAAUAUUAGUUAUAUAUCAUGUGUACAUAUAUAGUCAUAAAAGGUCUUUCCAGUUCAUCCCAUGCCCUUAGUUAGUAAGGGUAUACAUCCAUGACCAUACGUACCAGUUAGACUGCUAGUAAACUACCAUAUGGGUAGUUUAGGAAGAUACUAGAACCGUUACUAGAACGCGAUAUCAUACAAUGAGUCAGUUCAUUCAUGAGUCAAUACUUUCUAGAACAUUACUGUACAUUACAUAUACAACUAUACUAGGACGAGAACAUAUACAACUAUACUAGGAAGAGAACAUAUACAACUAUACUAGAACGAGAAACAUUACCCUUACAUUAAUACGUUAACAAUUGUGAUCCACUGUAUCGGAGCAUGCCUUAAAUGUCAUGGCCCGAGUUGUAGCCAGAAUUCUCUUGGAGGGAGAGCGUGAGUUUGCGUAUAGAUCUAUACUGGAUUGACUAUCCUACACCUUGCUGCUAGCUACAGCCGGACCUGCAGGUCUGCGGGUGCCAAACGUCAUUCCGUUAUUACGACCAUUCGUAUGUCGUUGUUACCAGUCGAUAGUAUGGUGCAAUUUAUCACAUAAUGCCUUAAUAUAAAUCCGGUUUAAGGUAAUUAGUACAGCAGUAGUUCUUAUAGCGCUACGUUUUAGUACUACAUUAAUUUUCCCUGUACAUAUAUUUAGUGAUCUUUUCACUUAAACUAUAAAUGUAAAAACUAUAUUUUGUUAAUAAUAGUUACACUUGGGAAAAUUACACACUUUUACAAGACACGAACAUUUAGAACAGUUAAGUCUUGGUAGAAGACUACAUUGAGAACAGUUAGGUCUUGGUAGAAGACACCCUUAUAUAAUAGUAGGAAUCAUAGGGAUUUCUAGAGUUUUUCAAACGUUUACAGUUGUUUUACAAACAUUUUCAUACUUACAGUUCAUAUACAUUUUCAAUACUUACAAUUCAUUUACUUACAAAUUCUUACAUACAAAUUAAGACACUAAAUACUUAUGAUCUCACCAGCUUCAAAGCUGAUACUCGCUUUCAAAAUUACUUGUAUCCUCAGGUCAUCAUAGACAGGUACCGAUGCAAGGAGAAAGGAAGAUGGAGCUUGUUCAAGACUCAUCUUUCAUUUUGAUUUAUGCUUUAGUGUUUAUCAAAAUUUGACAGAACACAUUUGUAUAAUAAUUAUAUUAUUAAUGCAAUGGAUGAUGUUGUUGCUUGUUUACUACUUUACAUUGUUGUGAUAUUAUACAUGACGUCCUCCGCCCCAGAACGUUUCCGCCGUUCUUGGUUUUGGGGUGUGACAGAUUGGUAUCAGAGCAUUGUUUAUAGUGAAUUAAGUAUAUCAACCCAUAAAAGAUAUACUAACUAUAAAUACAUAAGGGAUUAAAAAUACUCUGACCAAGAGUUUAUACUUUAAAUAGUAAAAUAUUUAGUAAGUUUACGUGCUACAUUCAUACUAAAAUCAAUGUCACUAGGACAGUACAAAAAAAAUUUCGAUUGUUGGGAAACACAAGUGGGCUUAGAGACAUAUGGUCAAAACUGGGAAGAUAUAGCCUGAUCACCUAUAUUAUCCGAGGGUUGACUAGCAUGUGCCUAAGUUUAAUUGUGUGGUUGCAACAAUGCUAAAAUCUUACCAACCCUACCACAAUGAGAACAAUAGAACAUAACAUUAAAAAUUUAAAAUACUAUAGGAGUAUUUGGUGUUACUAUAAGUACUUUAUACUUGAGAACUAAAACGGGAUCUUCAUUAUUAAGUUGAUAGUUGCUAAGUGGAUACACUAAGGCUAUAUGUAAUUAGGAUGUUAUAGACUUAGAAUUUGUGAAAAUUUUGCCUUACCCCUAUUCUGUGUGAAUUUGGAAUUAAGGUCACUUAUUCGAAGGUCUAUCCUGUUUAGAUUACACAUAGCUGGUAUGCACUUCACAAAUAGCGAUGUAACUAAUGAAGGUUUUCUAAAUAAUUAUCUAGAUAGUUUGUCAAAUAAUUAUCCUCUUACCCUAAAUUCUUGCAUAGAAAUCAUAGCUGGACUCCAUCCCCUCAGCAACCAGUAUCUUCUGAACGAAGUCAUAGCUGGUUGGUUUGAAGAAGAACCGGUGAAUGAUCAUCCUAUCCCCUUGGAUGAUCACCAUGAAGACUUUUCGUAUGAUGCUAACUCCGAACCAGAAGUUGAGAACCUACCCCGAGUAGCUCCCGUUCCAAAUUCCUAACCCUCUUCCGGCUUUUCAUGGCCUGACCCUGAGUGAGUGGAAUGCUUGGAAACAUGGAGCCAAGAACAAGAUCAGCCCAUGCCAUUUAUUGGCAACCGAAACUUUUACGACUUGAGCAAUGAGGGCUUAGCAGAUAUAGUCUUGCCAAUCUUGGUCCGCAGAGAGGCCAUAAAUGAGAUUCAAGGCAGGACAGCCCUACAUCAGAUUUCAGAAGAAGUCGCCUAUGCUAGAAUGCAUACCCUCCACACCCUUCUUCUAGAGGAUGCUCACGAGAGAUCAGAGAGAAACCAUGAAACCCUACUGCAAGCACUGACUGAAUCACGAGCCGAAGUCAUAGGGCUCCGAGUACGCCAGAUGGUGUGCGAAAGACACCUACGUGACGUGGAACGUCAAUUGGCUGAACUAAGCGUUCACCAGAGGGAUGACCGUCGCCAGUAGUAGACGCUUUACUUUAUUUCCUUAUAAAGAGGAAUCGUAUUUUUCUGUCUAUGCCUGAUGUGGCAUUUUCUAUGAAAUUAUCUUGUACCGUAAGUACUUUAGUUAGGUCUUUAUGCUGUCAGGAACUAUCUCCUGUGGAUAUGAUGUAAGACCUUUACAAGGUCAUUUUCCUGAACCUUUACGUCGUAAAUAUCCAAGAUAUUGACAGCCGGCUAACUUUUGUGUCAUUUCCUUCAUUCAAGUACUCUUAUCAUACUCUCAUUGGAGUCUAUCUGAAACCUGCUUUAGUUAAGUCAUUGGACCAUAGCAAGUUAGAUACGGAGACAUUUCCAAGUCUCUUUCAGUGGUUGGAUUUUGUUAUUCACCAACCCACGAUACCUCAACUUGUACAACAAACGUCUUGAGACCAUUCUACGAACUUACCUCUACUCAUUACUAGGACUGCAUCAUAGGGAUGUAGGUCAAACCUUCGCGAACAUACUUUCAUUCUGUACUAGGACUGCAUCAUAGGGAUGUAGGUCAAACUUUCGAGAACAUCGUCGUACUCUUUACAUGAACAAUCUAAGUACAUCAGGGUCAACCAGAAUCGCUCACAAAAUCCUUACUUUUCGUGUUAUAGAAUCAUGUCGUCAUCCAGAAGCAAUAAGUCGAUCAGCGAAACCCCCACUUUUCCUAUGGACGCCGCUACCUUUCAAACAACAGUUACAGCUGCCGUGGUGGCUGCCGUAACCGCGGUCCUUGCACACCGUAGCGCUAACAGCACAGUCAAUGCAACUGAUGGGAACGAAGUUUCCAAUCGUGGUAUCCAUCCAGGAGGUCGUCAAACAGUAACAGUCACAGGCUCGCAAAGCCGAAAAACAGAAAACAAGAAACGAAAGCGUCAAGCCCGGAAGGAACGCAAGAGAUCCCAAAAGCUGGCUAUACAACAGCAGCAAGUGGAAACCCCUGCCAUCCCAGUACCGAGCAGGCCAUACGAGGGAAAACUCCCGAAGUGUGAUAAGUUUAGUUUCCAUCAUCAUGGGGCUUGCCAUGAGAUGUAGUGUUGCAAUUGCCUAUACAUAGGGCACCAUGCUCGUAACUGUGGGGCACCGACGCGACCCAUCACUCAAGUCCCUUUCAUCGGGACUAAACCCACACACAAGAUUUGUUAUAGCACCGAGCGAUUUAAGAAGCAGUUUUCAAAGUGGAGUAAUGAGGAAGGCACUCGUGUCCACAUAACAUUGGCUAAACACCGCAAUCCCGUCUCCAAGGCUAGUACUAGCCAGUCAUGCCACCAAUGCGGUGAGGUAGGGCACUUCAAGAAAGAUUGCCCGAUAACAAAGAACUCUGGCGCAGAUGGGAAAAUUCUCAGGAUCACAGCUGCAGGAGAGCCUACUCCGGAACCACGUUAAAUGUAAUUUGGGCGUUUCGUUGUAACAGACUUAUAAACUAUCUAGAACUAGUGCAACUAGAGUCUUACCUUUUGCGAGAUCCUGUCUGUAUAGGAAUUCUCGUGCUGCGUAUACUUGUCUUUUGUAGUAUAUCUUAUUCGCAGCAAUAGUCUUGUGGUAAAUCUAAAGUAUUGUAACUUUGUUCAUGGUUGCACAGUUGUGUUUUGUCUGUAAUCGUCUAUGUUUAAUUCUAAUGUCUUUAAAGUUUCUGUAUGAUUCCGACAUUAUCAUACAACCAGAUUCACUUUGAUCGACGCCAAAAUAGCUUCAUACGUACAUCUCUUUCUUCUAGAUCGUUUUUCCAGCGAAGCCGUCAUAUCAGAACACCGUAGUACUCAUGCCAGGAGUACCACUUAGUUAUUUUCUUUCCGAAGAAAUCCCCGAAGUACCACUCGUGCAGUACGUCAAGUUCAAUCCAAGGAUUUAUACGAUUGAUCUAUCACUGAGAAAUGUAUGCAUAAGAGUGAUAUAUAAUCAAGGUUCUACAGGUUUAGAAUUGAUGAUUCCACUUUAACUUCUUUUCCCGGAUGGGAUGUGAGGGUAAGGAAGAAUCAGUUAUUCGACUACCUUUUCAAUCUUAAUUAUAUACGACUCGUAUACACGAGAUUGUGAUCGUGAAGCCCUGUAUAAAUUCUAAAAUGGACUUCAGGACGGAGAACUGCCUAAGUAUACGAGUAAUCACAUCGUCAUGUGAACAAACUUAGAACCCAGUACGACUCCCGAAAACAGAUCGCCCUAUAGUUUAAACACCCUCGGAGAUACCAGAACAGUACAAACCACUUGACGAACUACACAGAAAGAGAAUUAGAAGACUAGGCUUCUCACCCUAGAGAACCCCGGUCAUAUUCUCGCGGAGAUCGACGGAUUGCAACGUAUGUGCCUCGGAUAUCGAGGACUCCGUCAAGAUUUUCAUAGAAAUCGUUAUCUCUGCCUCGCAUAGACAAAAUGGUUGAGCAAACGCAAGGAAAGAAACUACUUCCAGGAAUGGAUCUGGAAUCCGAAUAUCACCAGUUCGAGUGUUAGGGGAGGAUGUCCGGAAGACUAUCUCCUGAACUCGAUGCGGACACUUCGAGUUCGUAGUGAUACCUUUCGGAUAGGACCAAUACGCCCAUAGUUUUCAUGAGCUAAAUAAAUAGAGUUACGUCUUUCUUACUGGGAUCAGUCAUCAUUUCUCCAUGUAAUGACUUACUUAUCUACCCUCGUAGUAAGAAGAAAGCCCAUGGUAACAUUCCUACAGAGGAACUUUUAGCAAAGUUCUCUAGGCACGAGUUUUGAAAUUGAAGAGUCAAAUUUCUAGGACACACUGUUAGUAAUGUGAGAAAUUUUGAGUACUCUUUCAAUUUGUCAAAACCGUUGAGCAUUUAUCGACACCAGAGACGCCGACAGUUUUUCGCCAGAUUCUAGGUCUUACCGACCUACCGCCUUAGUUCAUUCAGAACUCCUCGCAAGCUACAGAAACUCGUACGACUUUGACCCAGCAAGGGGUGGCCUUUGACUGGGAAGUUACGUAAGAAAAGGAACCUUUGAGAUUCCAAGUGAGUGACCAAGUUCUUUAGGAUAACUCACUCUGGGAAUGGCUUAAUACGCUUCGUAAAGCGUGGAAAGCUAAAUCCAAGUUAGACAGGACCUCCGAGAUUCUUAUCAGAAUCGGUCCUGUGCCUCACACAAACUAGACCUACUCCGCGAACUCAGUAACGUACUUUCUACUCUUCGCAUCUCGAUCGUGAAACCAUACCUUUCCGUUAGGACUCUUGCAAGUCCACUCGUCGAGAUCCUCGCCUUCGUAUUAGAACCGUAGUGACCCUCGACCGAGAGGUCAAGCGGACGAAGAAACGCCAUCGCCAGUUAGUGAAGGUUCGUUGGAAUGCCAACCGAGAACCCGUNNNNNNNNNNNNNNNNNNNNNNNNNNNNNNNNNNNNNNNNNNNNNNNNNNNNNNNNNNNNNNNNNNNNNNNNNNNNNNNNNNNNNNNNNNNNNNNNNNNNNNNNNNNNNNNNNNNNNNNNNNNNNNNNNNNNNNNNNNNNNNNNNNNNNNNNNNNNNNNNNNNNNNNNNNNNNNNNNNNNNNNNNNNUAGCCUUAAGUAUCUAAAUGAAAGUUAUAGAUAACCUCAAACCGUGAGCGUACAUAAAAAGAACGUCCAAAUCUGACUUCGUAUGAGGAAGUUAUGAUUUUUCCAAGAUUCGGGUAUAGCAGUAGACAGCUAAAAACUCGAAAUAGAGCUCGAGAUACUUUUGACCAAAACAACCUAAAUGAGAAUCUAAGGUCUCAACAUUAGUAGCGCAACGGCGAAAAGUCUGACGAAAACGGACAUCGGAUGAAGAAGUUAUGGAAUUUUAACGGACUUUUCGUGUCCCGGCCCGUUAAAAAUAAAUAAUUAAAAAUAAAGUCAGAAUUUGCCGAUGAAGUCUAAACGAGAGUUGUAGAUCAUGUUUUUAGCUACGCGUGCAUAUAAAGAACGUCGAAAACGGAGCUCGUACGCGAAAGUUAUGGAUUUUACAAGUUCGGGGUCCAAAAUCCGAGGCUGUCAGGCCCCCACGACGUGGCACAAGCUUGCCGCGACCCGGCAAGUGACUGAGGGCGUCCAAUCAAUGGAAGAGGAUAGGUUUGACUCCCCACGACGUGGCCAUCACUUGCCACGACGUGGCACACCCCAAAAAUGCCCCUAUAAAUAGAUUUCAAGGGCUCCGAGUUCCAUUGCUCAGUUCCCUUCUUUCUCGCGCCGAAACUCUGCGUUUAAGCCCCCGAGACCCUCCCAAAGCCCCGGUUUUCACCUUCAAGUCCCGAAGGAAGGUUUUGUGUUCCCGAGAUUCCCGAGAAUCCCGAGAUUUUCCCGCGUUUUCAACUCUUCCUGUCGAAGUUCUGCUCGAUUCUUCUCUAGACUAUUUCAAAUCAACCACUUCAAUCAAGUGAGUUCAUACCCCUUAACUAAUGUUUUAAACUACUUUUAAAUGUUUUUUGGGGGGGGGAAUACAAGUAGAAUCAUGCUAGUAUUAUAUCAAUCACAUGCGAUUAAUAAGUAGAAUUACGCUAGUUAUUACAUCAAUCACAUGUGAUUAAUAUACAGCAUUCAAAAGAUUUGGCUACUCAUUAGCCGUUUUACCAAACAGUUUCCUUCAAAUGAUUUUUAUAAACAUUUUAUAUGUUUUAAACUACUUAUUACACUGUACAUCUUACUCGGUACAUUACCUUUCAAACUUAUUUACAACUGUGUUUCAAACAAAUGUUUCCUUAUACUCAAAACUGUUUUAUCAUACUUAUGCCUUCAAAUUGUUUUAUAGAUCGACAUCAAGUCGAUCUUUUCUUAAAAUAAUAUUUAUGUUUCAAAUGUCUUACAAAAUUUAUUUAUGCUUUUAUAUUAUAAAUUGCAUGCCUCUAUAUGUAUAGUUAUAUAAGAAAUGUUUAAAAGACUUAGGAAGGCUAUCCACCCUAUUUCCUUUUCGCGCCUUGAGAUGUGGUCUGGUGGGAUAUUGGGUAUUCGUCCGAAAGUCGUUUAAAUAUUAGUUAUAUAUCAUGUGUACAUAUAUAGUCAUAAAAGGUCUUUCCAGUUCAUCACAUGCCCUUGGUUAGCAAGAGUAUACAUCCAUGACCAUACGUACCAAUUAGACUGCUAGUAAACUACGAUAUGGCUAGUUUAGGAAGAUACUAGAACCGUUACUAGAACGCGAUAUCAUACAAUGAGUCAGUUCAUUCAUGAGUCAAUACUUUCUAGAACAUUACAUAUACAACUAUACUAGAACGAGAAACAUUACCCUUACAUUAAUACGUUAACAAUUGUGAUCCACUGUAUCGGAGCAUGCCUUAAAUGUCAUGGCCCGAGUUGUAGCCAGAAUUCUCUUGGAGG